CUGAACCUGUGUUACUGUACCUUUGUGAAGUACCUGAUGGUCUAAUAAAGAACUGGCCAAUAGCAAGGCAGGAGAAAGGAUAGGUGGGGCUGGCAGACAGAGAGUAUAAAUAGAAGGAGAAAUCUGGGAAGAGGAAACUAAGAUGGAGAAGGAGCUAGAGUACAGGGGGACUCAAGAGGCCAGCCACCCACCUACACAGCAAGCCAUGGAGUAAGAGUAAGAUUUACAGAAAAGGCUAUUGAAAACAUGUAUUUGAAGGUCAGAAGACACAUCAUAAUGCUAUGAAUCUGAAGAGGUUCCAGAAUAUAUGCCACACAGGUCGAUAAAGCCCAAACUCCAGAGGAGCUUUACUUCAGUUAUCCUCUCUGCCCAUAGGAUCUCUAUGACUGGUAAGUGAUCUGUCUUCUUAAAUACAAGGUAAAGAGAACUUACUGCAUAGCACUGUUGUGAGGAUUAAGUAGUUCAGUCAGGGAGAUGCAUUUAGAAUACUGCCUGGCAAUGCAAGUUUGGACUCUUAUUAAACAAAUUACAAAAAAAAUCUAACAAAACACUAAUCGUGACAAAUAGACUAGCAUACAUUUAAUUCAGGAAUGCUGGCACUGGACAAUAAAUAUGUUAGAUAUUUUAAAAGUGGUGUUAAAUCUUCUGGAUGACGGCUUAUAUUAACUUCAAAGAAUCUAACACUUUUGAUACAAAGUGGACUCCAUGGAA